UACGUAGGGUGCAAGCGUUGUCCGGAAUUAUUGGGCGUAAAGAGCUCGUAGGCGGUUCGUCGCGUCGGCUGUGAAAACCCGGAGCUCAACUCCGGGCCUGCAGUCGAUACGGGCGGACUCGAGUUCGGCAGGGGAGACGUGGAAUUCCUGGUGUAGCGGUGAAAUGCGCAGAUAUCAGGAGGAACACCGGUGGCGAAGGCGGGUCUCUGGGCCGAUACUGACGCUGAGGAGCGAAAGCGUGGGGAGCGAACAGG
rnacentral:rRNA from 1 species